rnacentral:rRNA from 1 species
UACGUAGGGUGCGAGCGUUAAUCGGAAUUACUGGGCGUAAAGCGUGCGCAGGCGGUUUUGUAAGACAGAGGUGAAAUCCCCGGGCUUAACCUGGGAACUGCCUUUGUGACUGCAAGGCUUGAGUGCGGCAGAGGGGGAUGGAAUUCCGCGUGUAGCAGUGAAAUGCGUAGAUAUGCGGAGGAACACCGAUGGCGAAGGCAAUCCCCUGGGCCUGCACUGACACUCAUGCACGAAAGCGUGGGGAGCAAACAGG